rnacentral:rRNA from 1 species
CAAUAGCGUAUAUUAAAGUUGUUGCGGUUAAAAAGCUCGUAGUUGGAUUUCUGCUGAGAACGACCGGUCCGCCCUUUGGGUGUGUAUCUGGCUCUUUCUUGGCAUCUUCUUGGUGAACGUUGCUGCACUUGACUGUGUGGAGCGCUACCCAGGACUUUUACUUUGAGGAAAUUAGAGUGUUUCAAGCAGGCAUACGCCUUGAAUACAUUAGCAUGGAAUAAUUAGAUUGGGCUUUUGCUCCAAUUUGUCGGUUUCUGGAGCUGAGGUGAGAAUUAAUGGGGAUUGUUGGGGGCAUCCGAAUUUAGCCGUCAGAGGUGAAAUUCUUGGAUCGGCUAAAGACGGACAACUGCGAAAGCGUUUGCCCAGGAUGUUUUCAUUGA